GACGAACGCUGGCGGCGUGCUUAACACAUGCAAGUCGAACGGAAAGUCCCUGCUUUUGUGGGGUGCUCGAGUGGCGAACGGGUGAGUAACCCGUGAGUAACCUGCCCUUGACUUUGGGAUAACUUCAGGAAACUGGGGCUAUUACCGGAUAGGAGCUCCUGCUUCAUGGUGGGGGUUGGAAAGUUUCGGCUGUUGGGGAUGGACUCGCGCCUUAUCAGCUUGUUGGGGGGGUAGUGGCUUACCAAGGCUUUGACGGGUGGCCGGCCUGCGAGGGUGACCUGCCACAUUGGGACUGGGCUGCGGCACAGACUCCUCCGGGAGGCAGCAGUGGGGUAUAUUGCACAAUGGGCGGAAGCCUGAUGCAGCAACGCCGCGUGCGGGAUGACGGCCUUCGGGUUGUAUUCCGCUUUCGCCUGUGACGAAGCGUGAGUGACGGUAAUGGGUAAAGAAGCACCGGCUAACUACGUG
rnacentral:rRNA from 1 species